rnacentral:rRNA from 1 species
UGGGGAAUUUUGGACAAUGGGCGAAAGCCUGAUCCAGCAAUGCCGCGUGUGUGAAGAAGGCCUUCGGGUUGUAAAGCACUUUUGUCCGGAAAGAAAUCCUUGGCUCUAAUACAGUCGGGGGAUGACGGUACCGGAAGAAUAAGCACCGGCUAACUACGUGCCAGCAGCCGCGGUAAUACGUAGGGUGCAAGCGUUAAUCGGAAUUACUGGGCGUAAAGCGUGCGCAGGCGGUUUGCUAAGACCGAUGUGAAAUCCCCGGGCUCAACCUGGGAACUGCAUUGGUGACUGGCAGGCUAGAGUAUGGCAGAGGGGGGUAGAGUUCCACGUGUAGCAGUGAAAUGCGUAGAGAUGUGGAGGAAUACCGAUGGCGAAGGCAGCCCCCUGGGCCAAUACUGACGCUCAUGCACGAAAGCGUGGGGAGCAAACAGGAUUAGAUACCCUGGUAGUCCACGCCCUAAACGAUGUCAACUAGUUGUUGGGGAUUCAUUUCCUUAGUAACGUAGCUAACGCGUGAAGUUGACCGCCUGGGGAGUACGGUCGCAAGAUUAAAACUCAAAUGAAUUGACGGGGUCAUAGCUGUUUCCU